AUAUCAAUAAGCGGAGGAAAAGAAACUAACAAGGAUUCCCCUAGUAACUGCGAGUGAAGCGGGAAAAGCUCAAAUUUAAAAUCUGGUAGUCUUUGGCUGCCCGAGUUGUAAUUUAGAGAAGUGUUACCCGUGCUGGACCAUGUACAAGUCUUCUGGAAUGGAGCAUCAUGGAGGGUGAGAAUCCCGUCUUUGACAUGGACUACCAGUGCAUUGUGGUAUGCUCUCAACGAGUCGAGUUGUUUGGGAAUGCAGCUCAAAAUGGGUGGUAAAUUCCAUCUAAAGCUAAAUAUAGACGAGAGACCGAUAGCGAACAAGUACCGUGAGGGAAAGAUGAAAAGAACUUUGGAAAGAGAGUUAAACAGUACGUGAAAUUGCUGAAAGGGAAACGCUUGAAGUUAGUCGCAUUGUCUUGAGAUCAACCUGGCUUUGCUUGGUGUAUUCUCUAGUUAAUGGGUCAACAUCAGUUUUGACUAUUGGAUAAGAGCUGGAGGAAUGUGGCUCCUUUAGGAGUGUUAUAGCCUCUAGCUGUAUACAGUGGUUGGGACUGAGGCUCUCAGCACGCCUUUAUGGCCGGGUUUCGACCACGUACGUGCUUAGGAUGUUGGCAUAAUAGCUUUAAGCGACCCGUCUUGAAACACGGACCAAGGAGUCUAACAUGCAUGCGAGUGUUUGGGUGGUAAACUCAGGCGCGUAAUGAAAGUGAAAAUUGAGAUCUCUGUCAUGGAGAGCAUCGAUGCCCAGACCGAAACUUUUGGGACGGAUCUGCGGUUGAGCAUGUACGUUGGGACCCGAAAGAUGGUGAACUAUGCCUGAAUAGGGUGAAGCCAGAGGAAACUCUGGUGGAAGCUCGUAGCGAUUCUGACGUGCAAAUCGAUCGUCGAAUUUGGGUAUAGGGGCGAAAGACUAAUCGAACCAUUUACUAAGGUGGUUAAGAGGCAAACUAAAAGUGUUUGUCUAGUGAUUUUGUUGAGGGUUGCAACAUUGUCAAAUUGCGGGGACGUCCUUAGAGCCUUUGCUACCGCCUUUACAUGGAAACAUAGUAGAGUGCACCAGGGUAAUGACCUCGGGUAUGGUAAAAACGCAAAGGAUUGGAUAAUCCGCAGCCAAGUCCUAAGGGUUGGUACUACCAAUCUAUGGAUGCAGUUCACAGACUAAAUGGCAAUGGGUCUCUGUUACAAAGAGGCUUAAGAUAUAGUCGGUCCCGUCACGAAAGUGAACUAACAGAUGAAGAUCAGUACAUUCCUCAACAAUAGAUGUCUGAUCCCGAGCUGUUGGGAGGUAUACAUGUAUAUCUUGGGGUUAAAUGCUAGUAGCUGGUUCCUGCCGAAGUUUCCCUCAGGAUAGCAGAAACUCAUAUCAGAUUUAUGUGGUAAAGCGAAUGAUUAGAGGCCUUGGGGUUGUAACAACCUUAACCUAUUCUCAAACUUUAAAUAUGUAAGAUCGAGCCGUCUCUUAGUUGGACCGCUUGGCGAUUGAGAGUUUCUAGUGGGCCAUUUUUGGUAAGCAGAACUGGCGAUGCGGGAUGAACCGAACGUGAGGUUAAGGUGCCGGAAUAUACACUCAUCAGACACCACAAAAGGUGUUAGUUCAUCUAGACAGCAGGACGGUGGCCAUGGAAGUCGGAAUCCGCUAAGGAGUGUGUAACAACUCACCUGCCGAAUGAACUAGCCCUGAAAAUGGAUGGCGCUUAAGUGUGUUACCCAUACCUCACCAUUAGUGUUGAAGUGACGCACUAAUGAGUAGGCAGGCGUGGA
rnacentral:rRNA from 1 species